rnacentral:pre_miRNA from 15 species
UCACCUCAUAAUGAUGGCGCGGUGCGGUGCGAUGUGAUAUCAAAAAAUUCGCUCUCAUUCGCCAUCAUUCUUAGGUGUAGU